rnacentral:lncRNA from 1 species
CUACUCCUCUGCCAUCUUGGACUCCUCCCUGGUUAGUUUCUAUUAUAUUUCUUCAGAUCACUAAUCUUUUCUUCAGCAUCUGCUUUUAUCCCAUCCAGUGUAUUUUCCAUUUCAGAUAAUGUAUUUUUUAUCUCUAGACGUUUCACUGAAUCUUAUAUCUUCAUUUUCUCUAAUUAUUGUGGCCAUGUUUUCCCCUGCCUUUUUGAACUUAUAGAGCAUUUUUAAAAAUAUCUUAUUUAUUUAUUUGACAGAGAGAGAACAUGCAGCAGAGAGAGAGGGAGGAGAAGUGGAGGAAGAGGGAGAAGCAGAUUCCCCGCUGAGCACGGGCCCUAUGUGGAACUUGAUCCCAGGACCCCAGGAUCAUGACCUGAGCUGAAUGCAGACACUUAACUGACUGAGCCACCCAGGUGCCCUAGAGCAUUUUUAUAAUCACUGCUUUUAUGUCCCUGUUUGUUAGUUUCAUCACAUUAUUAUUUCUGGACCUGUUUUUAUUGGUCGAUAUUUUUCUUUUUUUUUUUAAACAAAAUUGUUCAGGUUUUAUUUAUCAGUAGCUCCUCUCUCUUCUCCCUGCCAGCCGCUGUGCCCUCUUCCACACUCUCAGAUUCAGAAGAGGACUUCUCUGGCCUCAUCAGUGGUAAUCUAACGGGAGCAGAGGUUGGUGAUGUCAACAGUAGGUGGAUGUGAGACAGGCUGGGGUCAGGGAGGCCCUUGAGAAGAAAGGCAGGUGCAGCCCGUAAGACAGAGACAAUCCUUAGCAGGACUGGUGAGCAGAUGGCACGGCCAAAGCCACGGCAGCUUCUUUCUAGCCACUUCCAGCCUUCCUUUUAGCACCUACGUCUGCUGGCGCUGCUCCAUCUUGCAUAGCCUCCUUCUGACCUGGGCUGGCGGCUUGGACAGCGGGGCUCACUACAGGCUCUUGGUGGAGCCAUGGCCUCUAUGAAUUCAUUUGUCCAGUAGCAGUUAACAAGUGAAGAACUGAGCGUUCUUCAAAGAUGACUCAGAUACAGGCUUGCUCUCAGAAACUUUGGAAUGUAGUUUAGACUCUGAAGAACCUGUGGAGAGUUUAGAUUUAUUUUUUCCUGGCCCCCAGCAACACACUCUCCCUCUGUUAACUCCUUAACCAGUGUUUUUCAUAUCACAAGAUGCAGCCUAUUAGUGGGUCAUGAUGGGCAUUUUUUUAAAAGUAGUCUCCUCCCCCCAGGGUGGAACCCAACUCGGGGCUUGAACUCAUGAGCCAGAUAGCAACACCUGAGCUGAGAUCAAGAGUCAAAUGCAUAACCAGAUGAGCCACCCAGGCAC